ensembl:lncRNA
GGCAGCUUUCACCAAUGUUUAUAAAGAAGACAAAAUCUAUUUACAUUUUUCCAAAUUCUUUAUGAUCUUUCUCAAUUACACAUACAUUCAUCUCCAUUUAUUAGAGAAGAGUGGUUUAUAUUAGAUAGAAAUAGACCGAUGGAGAGAAGAAAGACGGAGAAAUCAGUGCACCACUCUACAACAGAUGGGAUUUGCUGAGAUAUCUUUAUCAUUGAGUAGAAGAUAUUAUUUAAGUCGUUAUGCUCAACUUGAAUGGAAGAGAUUUACAAAUUUUCUUAUGCUGGGGUAACUGUUUUUCCAAAGACUAAAUAUUUUAGUAAAUCAGAGUUUUGUUGCCUGCACAUCUAUUAAUUUGUUCCUGGUGUACUGUGUUGUGUGUGUGUAUAGUGAGAAGGGGAAAUGAAGACAGAGGAGGGAAGCUGCUCCUCCACUCUGCCUCAAGCUCGUGCAGAACUAUUUCCUCCAUGGACCCAGCUCCCAUCCAGGCUCUUUCCCGUGGCCCUGUGGCUUGUCUCUGACAACAGCAACUUGUUCUCAUGUCUCCUCAGUCGUAGGAAAGGCCAUUUCAUGACACAGGGAAUCUCCAUAGGAGCAUGACAGAAAGCCGUAAGUAUUUUUAACAGCACGUUAUUACUGCACUUUACAUGUAAGGAAAGGCUUUCUUCCUAAGAAUAACCCAAAAUGGCUUUUAGGUCAAUUAAACUAAUUGGCUAUAAUAAAUGGAAAACUUUUGUAUUUUGUAAAUUAGCAUAUAUACAAAAUAUCCAUAUAACUUAAAAGACACAAGAUGCUUCCAUUCAAAUAAAAAUUGACAAAUUCUACUAAAGAAGCUAGCAAUCAUUUACUGCCUUCUAAGUGCGCUUAGAUCUGCUCUCUUUUUGAAUUUAAAUGGCAAAACUGUCAAGUAUGUGUUAUGUUCUCAUUGCACAGGUGAAAAACCUGAGGAACAGAGAGAUUGAGUAGUUUUCCUAAAGUCACUCAGCUAGAGAACUGCAAAUACAAGAUUCAAACUUGGAUAUGUCCUUCUAGAACACUAUACUCUUUCCUCUGAGGGCCUAUUGUAUAAGAGGUACAAGACAAUGGAAGACAGUUCUUAAAAAAUAACAACAAAAAACCUAUAACACUAAUUAUCGGAAAAGUUAACAGAUUAGAGCCCACAAAUAAGUACAAGACAAAAUAUGAGGGGGAGGGCAUUAAAGAUUGCUGUAAAGAAUUAGAAUAAAGCAAAUACCAAAUUUGAUUCUCAAAAAUCAGAGAAGAGUUCAUGAAGAAGAUGGUAUUUCAAAUAGUUUUAAAAGAUUAGAAGAAUGUUGUAAACAAACUUUAUUGUUAAAUAUAACUUAUAAACUAUUAAAUCAGAUUUGCUAUUUACUUUCUUUUUUAAAGAUACAUGGCAAAAGAUUAACAUUUUACACAGUGUGUUUUGUGAAUGAAGUUAAAUCUUUGGCAAAUGAGGGAUUGCUACAGGAUAUUUAUUAAAUUUAUACUUUAAAAUGCUUGGGGAAAUUUAUUUAGGCAUUUUACUGAAAUUCUCGGUUAUCAUGUUUGCAUCUUAGCCAAAUUUAAAGUAAUAAAUCCAUUGUUGUUUAUGAACAAACAUACCAAACAUUUUCAACAAACCUAACACAAAGAAGAGCUUAGCAUAAAGGUAUGCCAGUUCAAGUUCUGAGGUAUAUAUUUGGAUAUUAACUCCUGUAUAACUUGUUGACAUGUAUUCUUGGGAAAUUUCUCCAGCAAUUUAGAAUUCAAAUUCUGUGUCAGAGUUCUGAGGUUAAAUUUGGACUCAAAAGACGUCAACAAACCGGGUAAUCUUUAGGUCUGUGGGCCAAAUUCUUAUACACAUCUGCUAUGAACAUGAGGGAAAGGGAUCAGACUUCAGUGGAAGGUGACCUUGAGUGAUGUGGAGUAGUACUUGUCCUCAAAUCUACUGUUAAAUUCAUUUAAAGCUGACUUAGCCCAUGUAAGAAUUCAAAAGUUAUAUUUUGGCAUCAUGAAUGAAUAAUGUGUCUCUGCCUCUGUAGGAAUCCUUCCACAGUAAUAUGGAUAAAUGAAGGUAGAGCCAUCUACUUGGUCUUCUCAUGACUGGGACCAUAAUGCUUUCCAAAAAAUGUCCAUUCUAGGUUGAAAUAUUUCUGUUUGUUAGAGAAUGUUUUCUCCUAUUUAGGUUUUUUGUUUUGAUCAUGAUUUCUUACCUCAUUUAGUUUUAGACUAAACUAUAUUUUGACUUUCUACUCAGAGUAGGUUUACUGUUUGUUUUAUUCCAUCAUUUAUAUCCCCCAUGUGUUGUUUUUACAAAUAUCUUUUUCAUUGAAGCAACAAAAAUAUUGCCUCUUUCUGAAUCAUAAAAGAAGUCUAUUUUUUAGUUGGGAUAGGAACACAUUUACUUGCUAGUUGUUUCUUUGAUCUCUGUUUCAAUCUUUUAAAUACAUACUAGAAACUGAGCAUGACGAUAGUUGAAAGGGGCAUUUAAUGUUAUGAAGCACUCUGGGCAGAUGAAUUACAUUUCUAAGGUAAACACACACCUCCACAAGCAGGGUCUAUACAGCACAUGUGCAACAGAAGUUCCUGACCAAGUUCACAUCUGAAAGUAUUCUGCUUCCAUUAAGAGAACCCACUUUUGCUUUCCCUCCUCACCCUUGAGGUUCCAAACAGAACUGCCUCCAGUCUGAG